rnacentral:tRNA from 1 species
GGCCGGUUAACUCAGUUGGUUAGAGCGUGGUGCUAUUAACGCCAGGGACGCGGCUUCGAUCCUCGUACGGGUCA